AGACGACGACGUUGAUAGGCCGGAUGUGUAAGCGCAGCGAUGCGUUGAGCUAACCGGUACUAAUGAACCGUGAGGCUUAACCUUACAACGCCGAAGGUGUUU
rnacentral:rRNA from 1 species